GUAGAAAUCUGAGGCUCACUUCAUAUACCAGCAAGGGAGUUAGCUUCAAGAAAGCACUGAGUCCCAGUCAUUGACAUUAUGGAUUGGGUGUGGAACUUGCUAUUUUUCAUGGCAGCAACCCAAAGUGUCCAAGCAGAGAUACAGUUGGUGCAGUCUGGACCAGAGCUGAAGCAGCCUGGUGAUACUGUGAAGAUAUCCUGCAAGGCUUCUGGAUAUACCUUCACAAGCUAUGCAAUUAAUUGGGUGAAACAGGCUCCUGGAAAGGGUUUAGUGUAUAUGGGCUGGAUCAACACCAAUACUGGGAAGCCAACAUAUGCUGAAAACUUCAAGGAACGGUUUGCCUUCUCUUUGGAAACCUCUGCCAGCACUGCAUAUUUGCAGAUCAGCAGCCUGAAAAAUGAGGACACUGCUAUGUAUUACUGUGCAAGACACAAUGUGAAAACCACAUCCUGAGUAUGUCAGAAAACA